rnacentral:rRNA from 1 species
GGCUCGCAGGCGGUUUCUUAAGUCUGAUGUGAAAGCCCCCGGCUCAACCGGGGAGGGUCAUUGGAAACUGGGGAACUUGAGUGCAGAAGAGGAGAGUGGAAUUCCACGUGUAGCGGUGAAAUGCGUAGAGAUGUGGAGGAACACCAGUGGCGAAGGCGACUCUCUGGUCUGUAACUGACGCUGAGGAGCGAAAGCGUGGGGAGCGAACAGGAUUAGAUACCCUGGUAGUCCACGCCGUAAACGAUGAGUGCUAAGUGUUAGGGGGUUUCCGCCCCUUAGUGCUGCAGCUAACGCAUUAAGCACUCCGCCUGGGGAGUACGGUCGCAAGACUGAAACUCAAAGGAAUUGACGGGGGCCCGCACAAGCGGUGGAGCAUGUGGUUUAAUUCGAAGCAACGCGAAGAACCUUACCAGGUCUUGACAUCCUCUGACAAUCCUAGAGAUAGGACGUCCCCUUCGGGGGCAGAGAGACACGUGGUGCAUGGGUGUCGUCACCUCGCGUCGUGAGAUGUUGGGUUAAGUCCCGCAACGAGCGCAACCCUUGAUCUUAGUUGCCAGCAUUCAGUUGGGCACUCUAAGGUGACUGCCGGUGACACACCGGAGGAAAGUGGGGAUGACAUCUCAUCUUCAUGCGCCUUAUGACCUGUGCUACACACGUGCUACAAUGGACAGAACACAGGGCAGCGAAACCGCGAGGUGAAGCCAAUCUCACAUAUCUGUUCUCACUUCGGA